rnacentral:rRNA from 1 species
UACGUAGGGCGCAAGCGUUGUCCGGAAUUAUUGGGCGUAAAGAGCUCGUAGGCGGUUUGUCGCGUCUGCUGUGAAAUCCCGAGCUCAACCUCGGGCUUGCAGUGGGUACGGGCAGACUAGAGUGCGGUAGGGGAGACUGGAAUUCCUGGUGUAGCGGUGGAAUGCGCAGAUAUCAGGAGGAACACCGAUGGCGAAGGCAGGUCUCUGGGCCGCAACUGACGCUGGAGGAGCGAAAGCAUGGGGAGCGAACAGG